rnacentral:lncRNA from 1 species
AGUGGGUUGGACACACUUCCUAGACCCCCUCUGUCCCUGUUGACCUAGCAGUAAAGUAGGUACCCUUUGUAAAUCGAAAGUUGCGAAUUCGUAUCUGGGGAAAGUCGUCGGAGCUAGCCGAUAAAAUGUUAAAGACUGGAGGGUUGUACGCCCUUGACAAAAAAUGCUUUGAUCCUUUAGGCAAGCACAAAGUUGGCAUGCUGCCUAGUUGGGCGGUGUAGGCGCUUGUGCCCUUCACCUUGCAUGGGAAUAAGGGGGGGUGAGGGGGGAUGCCCCUCGGGGGGGGCCCCCCCUCCCCCUUCUCAAAAAGUGUGGUAAUGAGCAAUUGAAAAAUGUUAGAGUAGAAUAUAGUCUUGUGUUGACUGUAUCGACUAACCAAGAGGAAGUAUGGUCGCCAUCCAGAGGUGGGGGAGAAGCCGAUGUUGGAAAGGAUCCAAGUGUUGUAACCAGUCGCCCUGUGCAGCAUGUGCUAAAAGGAGUUGUUGCAGUCCAGAAGACAUGAUUGGUGUGUGUGAUAAUCCAGAGGGACAUUAACGCUCGACUGAAUGUUGGAAAUGAGAGGCAGUAAAGGUGUAAGUAUUGUUUGUUGAAGUUGUACCUAUACUUUGUUAUAAUUUGAAGUAGAGCUUUUGUAACAUUGACGUAUUGUUUUUUGUUUUCAUGUUGGUGGUGGAGGAAUAUGGGCGAAUUGUUGAGAGGAGCGCGUCGACACUGGAUACGGUGAUGUCAAAUUGUGCAAUGUAUUAUUUGAAGGUUUGAGGAUGGAGUGGUGGUGGGUAGUGCCGUAACCAGGUUGCAGAAAGGGUGGCCUACUACAUGUAUGGGGCUGUGCAAUGGACUGUGUUGAGGAGAAGCAGCAGCGGCAGUAGCAGCAGUAGCAGC